rnacentral:rRNA from 1 species
AUACGGAGGGUGCAAGCGUUAUUCGGAAUCACUGGGCGUAAAGGACGCGUAGGCGGGUUGGCAAGUCAGAUGUGAAAUCCUACAGCUUAACUGUAGAACUGCAUUUGAAACUGCUAACCUAGAGUAUGGGAGGGGGAGAUGGAAUUAGUGGUGUAGGGGUAAAAUCCGUAGAUAUCACUAGGAAUACCGAAAGCGAAGGCGAUCUCCUGGAACAUAACUGAUGCUAAGGCGUGAAAGCGUGGGGAGCAAACAGGAUUAGAUACCCCUGUAGUCC